AAUUAAACUUCAGCAUGAAUAGUCCAAACAUUAUCAAAGCUUCUAAAAAAUAUGGGUCAGCUGGAAGUUCAUCAUGUUGGACGAAAGGUGAUGUUGAAGUUGUUAUGUGAUCGCUCGCCCGAGUCAAGACGUCAUAUGAUGUGCCAAACUUGGAUGUUGAUUGUAGCGGUGAAGAUCCUGAUCCAGAUGAUGGUGGGAGCGAAUUCGAGUUUGAUUUAAAGGAAGAUUACAAGUGGAAAAAGGUGGUCAGUUUUUGAACUCGUUCUAGCAAAAAUAUUUUGGUUUAUGUCUAAGAAAAUGUUGUACGUGAACCAAACUAUGAUAGAACAGUUGGAUGAAGAUAUGUACUAUGAAGAAAUUCACGUAACCAACUGAAAUAAAAUGGAAAAGUAUCUUGGAAAGGAAUGGUAUGACUAUGAGUAUGCUCAGAAGAAGAAACUGGGAGCUGGGAAAUUCUUCGAUUUACCAUUCGCUAUCCUCUAGAAAAGUUAGAUGUGUCUCUGUUCAACCACUGAUGGUAGCUCAAAAAAAAAUAUUUUGAAAUUUUCAGUAGAAGUUGUUUUUAUAGGUUGGAGUUUUGGGUUGUUGUUUAGAAUAAAUAUUUUGUUUAAUUAGAAAUUACUAUCCUUUAAGUUUGAGUUACUUAUUUUGUACUAAGGAUCUUGUUGUAUUUGUAUGUUGUUGAAGGAAUUUAUAAUGUAAUUUAUGUUACGUGUGA